UAGCGGGUUAAAGUCCCGCCCGAGGAAUUGUUCAUGUGCCUCGGUAGUACGAAAGAGCGGCGUUUGAGUAAUCAAGGGUCGUGAGUUCUUUACGACAAAGAGGCAGACUGUAACGAAA
rnacentral:ncRNA from 1 species